CUGGCCUAGCUGGAAAGAUAGACGCAGAGGGUGUGGAGUGCCUGAUCAAGCACCUGGGCUACAAGCCUGCGUAGUACAAGAUGGGCAGGACCAAGAUCUUCAUCUGUCACCCUAGAACUCUGCUCGCCACCGAAGAUGCCUUUGAGGUCUGCAAGCAUAAGCUGGCUACAAGGAUCCAGGCAAAGUACAAAGGCUACAUACAGCGUGAAGGGAGACUACAUGAGACAGAGAGAAGCAG